rnacentral:rRNA from 1 species
UACGUAGGGAGCAAGCGUUGUCCGGAAUCAUUGGGCGUAAAGCGCGCGUAGGUGGUCCCGUAAGUCCGCUGUGAAAGUCAAAGGCUCAACCUUUGAAAGCCGGUUGAUACUGUGGGACUAGAGUACGGAAGAGGCGAGUGGAAUUCCUGGUGUAGCGGUGGAAUGCGCAGAUAUCAGGAGGAACACCAAUAGCGAAGGCAGCUCGCUGGGACGUUACUGACACUGAGGCGCGAAAGCGUGGGGAGCGAACAGG